rnacentral:misc_RNA from 1 species
CCGAGUUAGGGUCCUUCGGGGCCCGACCUCCCAACCCCGUGUCUACCUUACCCGUUGCUUCGGCGGGCCCGUCCCAUCACGGGCCGCCAGGGGCUUGCUCCCCAGGCCAGCGCCCGCCGAAGACCCUCUGAACUCAUGGAAGUGCUGUCUGAGCAACUAUGCAAUAGUUA